GACGGAGGGUGCAAGCGUUGUUCGGAAUUACUGGGCGUAAAGGGCGCGUAGGCGGUCUGUUAAGUUCGGUGUGAAAGCCCCCGGCUCACCUGGGGAACUGCGCCGGAAACCGACAGACUCGAGUACCGGAGAGGAGGGUGGAAUUCCUGGUGUAGCGGUGAAAUGCGUAGAUAUCAGGAGGAACACCGGUGGCGAAGGCGGCCCUCUGGACGGAUACUGACGCUGGAGGCGACGAAAGCCGUGGGGAGCAAACAGG
rnacentral:rRNA from 1 species